UGCAAGUCGAGCGCUGGAGCGUUUCCUUCGGGAAACAAUCCGGAGCGGCGGACGGGUGAGUAACACGUAGGCAACCUGCCCGUAAGACUGGGAUAACUACCGGAAACGGUAGCUAAUACCGGAUAGGUGGCUUCUUCGCAUGGAGAGGCCAAGAAACGCGGUUCCGAUUCSUUCGGGGCUGCGGCUUACGGAUGGGCCUGCGGCGCAUUAGCUAGUUGGCAGGGUAAUGGCCUACCAAGGCGACGAUGCGUAGCCGACCUGAGAGGGUGAUCGGCCACACUGGGACUGAGACACGGCCCAGACUCCUACGGGAGGCAGCAGUAGGGAAUCUUCCGCAAUGGGCGAAAGCCUGACGGAGCAACGCCGCGUGAGUGAUGAAGGUUUUCGGAUCGUAAAGCUCUGUUGCCAAGGAAGAACGGCCCGGAGGGUAACUACUCCGGGAGUGACGGUACUUGAGAAGAAAGCCCCGGCUAACUACGUGCCAGCAGCCGCGGUAAUACGUAGGGGGCAAGCGUUGUCCGGAAUUAUUGGGCGUAAAGCGCGCGCAGGCGGUCUGUUAAGUCUUGUGUUUAAGCCCGGGGCUCAACCCCGGUUCGCAUGGGAAACUGGCAGUACUUGAGUGCAGGAGAGGAAAGCGGAAUUCCACGUGUAGCGGUGAAAUGCGUAGAGAUGUGGAGGAACAC
rnacentral:rRNA from 1 species